rnacentral:rRNA from 1 species
UCGAGAAUCAUUCGCAAUGGGCGCAAGCCUGACGAUGCGACGCCGUGUGAGCGAAGAAGGCCUUCGGGUCGUAAAGCUCUUUCGCCUGGGAACAAGAGAAGCUGGCUAAUACCCAGCUAAUUUGAGGGUACCAGGUAAAGAAGCACCGGCUAACUCCGUGCCAGCAGCUGCGGUAAUACGGAGGGUGCAAGCAUUAAUCGGAUUUAUUGGGCGUAAAGGGCGCGUAGGCGGGGAUGUAAGUCAGACGUGAAAUCCCGGGGCUCAACCUCGGAACCGCAUUUGAGACUACAUUUCUAGAGGGUAGGCGGAGAAAACGGAAUUCCACAAGUAGCGGUGAAAUGCGUAGAUAUGUGGAAGAACACCGGUGGCGAAGGCGGUUUUCUAGCUUAAACCUGACGCUGAUGCGCGAAAGCAAGGGGAGCAAACAGGAUUAGAUACCCCGGUAGUCC